AGCCAGACUCCUACGGGAGGCAGCAGUGGGGAAUAUUGCACAAUGGGGGAAACCCUGAUGCAGCGACGCCGCGUGAGCGAUGAAGUAUUUCGGUAUGUAAAGCUCUAUCAGCAGGGAAGAAGGUGACGGUACCUGACUAAGAAGCCCCGGCUAACUACGUGCCAGCAGCCGCGGUAAUACGUAGGGGGCAAGCGUUAUCCGGAUUUACUGGGUGUAAAGGGAGCGUAGACGGCGAUGCAAGCCAGAUGUGAAAGCCCGGGGCUCGACCCCGGGACUGCAUUUGGAACUGUGUGGCUGGAGUGUCGGAGAGGCAGGCGGAAUUCCUAGUGUAGCGGUGAAAUGCGUAGAUAUUAGGAGGAACACCAGUGGCGAAGGCGGCCUGCUGGACGAUGACUGACGUUGAGGCUCGAAAGCGUGGGGAGCAAACAGGAUUAGAUACCCCUGUA
rnacentral:rRNA from 1 species